GGAUUAGUAUGUCAAUUGUGAAAGCCCAGAGCUCAACUCUGGAAUCGCAGUUGAAACUGCUUUUCUUGAAUACCUGAGAGGGUGGGGGAAUACCUAGUGGAGAAGUGAAAUUCGUAGAGAUUAGGUGGAACACCGGAGGCGAAGGCGCCUGCCUGGCAGUGUAUUGACGCUGAGGAGCGAAAGUGUGGGGAGCAAACAGGAUUAGAUACCCUGGUAGUCCACACCGUAAACGAUGGAUACUAGGUGUUCGGGGAGUUAACCCCCUGAGUACCAAAGUUCACACAUUAAGUAUCCCGCCUGGGAAGUACGGUCGCAAGACUAAAACUCAAAGGAAUUGACGGGGGCCCGCACAAGCGGUGGAGUAUGUGGUUUAAUUCGAAGCAACGCGCAGAACCUUACCUGGCCUUGACAUCGCGAGACAGAUGCAGAGAUGCAUCCUUCCUUUCGGGGACUCGUAGACAGGUGCUGCAUGGCUGUCGUCAGCUCGUGUUGUGAAAUGUUCGGUUAAGUCCGGCAACGAGCGCAACCCCUGUCCUUAGUUACCAGCAUUAAGUUGGGGACUCUAGGGAGACCGCCGGUGUUAAACCGGAGGAAGGCGGGGAUGACGUCAAGUCCUCAUGGCCCUUACGGCCAGGGCUACACACGUACUACAAUGGUGGAAACAAUGAGUCGCAAAACCGCGAGGUGAAGCUAAUCUCAAAAACACCAUCUCAGUCCGGAUUGAAGUCUGCAACUCGACUUCAUGAAGUUGGAA
rnacentral:rRNA from 1 species